UGCUUUGAGAGUGGAGUGAGAGCAGAGGUGACCUAUGCCGUAGCGCGACAGAAGCUAUCUGCCUUUGUUUUUUUUUUUCUUCCAGGGCAUCCACAUUAAUCUGGAUAAAGGCUGCUUUUGUGAUCGGAGACAUUAGAACAGAAAGGCCUGGGAUGUUUCAGAAAGUUGGUAGUGCAGUUUUUAUUACUUCUUACAGGAACAUGUUCCUCUUAACAGCAGAAAGAGGCUUAACCUAAAGAAUUUAAUUGCUAACUAUACAAUUAUGUUUACUAGGUUAGGCCAAGUAUUUUGUUGUCUGUUUUUGUUUUAUGAAGGAGAGGAGGUUGCUCUGGAUCACCACACACGUGUCUACCUAGUCUUUGAUGGCUUACAGCAUUUUACUGAUAUUUAGGCACUGAUCAUGUAUAAGGAUAACUCGUCCACUUUUAUCUGUGUUCUCUAUCCUGGACACUGAGCUACUCAAGGGCAGGGUGAGUGUCUUGCUGAACUGAUAUCCUGAAGCUGAGCACAGUUCUUGACACAAAUGGGAAUGCAGCAAAUGCUUAUUGAGGAAUAAAUCAAUAAAUAUGGCUAGCCUGCCUCAAUCUUAAAAUGUAGAAAAUGUGCCCAUUUUCUGAAGUGAAGGUAUUAUAUGCCUCUCUUCAACAUGUAGAAAAAUCAAAAUCAUCAUCAUGAUUCACCCAACGUGUGUAAUGGCCGACCCUGAACAGCGAGUCAAAUGUUUUCCUUUAGAAGCGGGUUCACAGCUGUGCUGGGCAUCUUCCUGUUUUAUUCGUGACCAUGGGUGCCUUUGCAAAUCCAUUUGUGACUAAAUUCACAAAAAUUUAGUCACCAAAAAAAUGAGAAGAAGCAAUAUGUAAUUGCCCUUUGAAAUUGAUUUGCAAACCAUUGUUUAUUUCAGCUCAGUGUUUUAAAAUGAUAUUCACAAUAAUGUGACUGUCUCUUCCUGCCCCAGCUCAUUCUAUGGUCCAUGCAUGUUUCUGAAUCAUUUGGCUGAGCUAUAAUCCUCAGAAACCAGGGACAGCUGUCCGUGGACGGACAUGCUUUUCUGGAAGGAUCUCUCCACUGGACAACUUACAGCUGGUGGGAAUUACCUGAGCCAUGGUGAUAUGGAAAAACCCACAUCAGUCAGGAUGCUAUGACUAAUAGAGUCUAAUAUAGUUUUUUAAAAGAGGUAAUUAAUUUGUUAGCACAAAAUGGCCAGAAUGAUUUAUAGAAAUAAAAUAGAUACUGCAUAUAAAUAAGUACCUAUUGUUGAUGUCAUCAUUGGAGGCAGUGUAGACAUGCAUAAACAGAUGGAAAAUGGGGCUGUUGAUUAGAUACUAGUUCUGCCCUCUAUUGCCUUGGGAAAAUUAACCACUCUAAGCUUCAGGUUUUUAAUGUGCCUGAUGGAGAUAAUGUUUUCUUCUUG
rnacentral:lncRNA from 1 species